rnacentral:lncRNA from 1 species
CCCAGGAUAACACUUCUAGGUCAACAGAUUGCUAAAAGAGUAAUUUCAUUUGUCAUUUCUGUACCUACCAAACUUGACUUUCAUGGAGAAGUGCUUUUUACAAUGCACGUCAGGCUUUAUUAAUCUGAUUUUCCUGUUCCUCUCCAAAGAUAUUUAGUGCUUUAGUAAUGAUCAAUAUACUUGCUCUGAUGAUAAACAAAGACAAAUGAGUCUGUGCAGUCUGGAUGGUAUUUGUAAUUACCACCUCUGUAGGCAUUCAAUUACAUCUGAUGAAAGGGUGACAGAGUUGCCUUGUCUCUCUGACAGAGAUGCAUUUCUGCUGGAUACUGGGCAUGGAGCUGUCAGCAUGCUAAUUUCCUUCACCACAUUCAGUUCACUAUUGCUAGCACCGUCCAGUGUGUCCAUCAAACACAAAUGCCAUGGCAGCCCUUCCAGGGGAGUUGCAGAGGACAUAGCUCAGAGGCUCGCCCUGCUGGAGCCUCACCCAGGCAGCCCGCAUUCGCCAGGGACCGCAUCGCCGUGGCUCAGCGACCGACUGCGAUGGAGGUGGGCCCUGGCUGUGCUGGUCGGCUUUGUUCCCAGCACUGUCCGGGGGAGCCGGUCAGCCUAGCAAAGCGCACGAACCGUAGGACUGUGCCGUCCUUCCUGCUCUGCGAAGGCACCUGGAGCUGGCAGGGAAGUGCCAGGCACUGCAGUCCCAGCCACCACUGCGAGCUCCGUGCCCCUGCUGCAGAGCCACUGGGAUCGGAAGGGGACCGGAAUGGGCGAGAGGCAGGACGCAGGAGAAGGUGACAUCUCCAGAGACAGUAAGACAGAGCCACGCUUCCACCGUAUUUAUGGUGUUUGAAAGGUAUAGCAAAUAAUCCCAUUCACCUUACCCUUGAGAGACCUCUUUCUCCUCCUUUCAUUUGCGUGGAAGCGUGCUGUUGUUCGUCUCACAGCCACAGCAUCCUGAAAGGACUCAGACAAACCGGGAUGUGUUUGGUCAGGCAAGGUGUCUGCACGAUGACGCUUUCCCAUACUCCUUCUCCAUGAAGGAAAUCGUGUGCCAUAAAAAGUAACAGCCAUACAACAUUGUAAAUUGUACUUUAACUAAUCUGCUUUCCGGUUCAAUAUUCCAAUUGUCUGGGGCCUUUUGGGAACGGUUUUCAUUCCUU